AGUGAACGCUGGCGGUAGGCCUAACACAUGCAAGUCGAACGGCAGCACAGUAAGAGCUUGCUCUUACGGGUGGCGAGUGGCGGACGGGUGAGGAAUACAUCGGAAUCUACUUUUUCGUGGGGGAUAACGUAGGGAAACUUACGCUAAUACCGCAUACGACCUACGGGUGAAAGCAGGGGAUCUUCGGACCUUGCGCGAUUGAAUGAGCCGAUGUCGGAUUAGCUAGUUGGCGGGGUAAAGGCCCACCAAGGCGACGAUCCGUAGCUGGUCUGAGAGGAUGAUCAGCCACACUGGAACUGAGACACGGUCCAGACUCCUACGGGAGGCAGCAGUGGGGAAUAUUGGACAAUGGGCGCGAGCCUGAUCCAGCCAUACCGCGUGGGUGAAGAAGGCCUUCGGGUUGUAAAGCCCUUUUGUUGGGAAAGGAAAGCAGCAGGUUAAUACCCCGCUGUUCUGACGGUACCCAAAGAGUAAGCACCGGCUAACUUCGUG
rnacentral:rRNA from 1 species